rnacentral:rRNA from 1 species
CAGCCGCCGCGGGAAUACGUAGGGUGCGAGCGUUAAUCGGAAUUACUGGGCGUAAAGCGUGCGUAGGCGGUUCGUUAAGACAGAUGUGAAAUCCCCGGGCUUAACCUGGGAACUGCAUUUGUGACUGGCGAGCUAGAGUAUGGCAGAGGGGGGUAGAAUUCCACGUGUAGCAGUGAAAUGCGUAGAGAUGUGGAGGAAUACCGAUGGCGAAGGCAGCCCCCUGGGCCAAUACUGACGCUCAUGCACGAAAGCGUGGGGAGCAAACAGGAUUAGAUACCCCGGUAGUCCCUGUCUCUUAUAC